GAUGAACGCUGACAGAAUGCUUAACACAUGCAAGUCAACUUGAACUUCGGUUUGGGUGGCGGACGGGUGAGUAACGCGUAAAGAACUUGCCUCACAGCUAGGGACAACAUUUGGAAACGAAUGCUAAUACCUGAUAUUAUGAUUUUAGGGCAUCCUAGGAUUAUGAGAGCUAUAUGCGCUGUGAGAGAGCUUUGCGUCCCAUUAGCUAGUUGGAGAGGUAACGGCUCACCAAGGCGAUGAUGGGUAGCCGGCCUGAGAGGGUGAUCGGCCACAAGGGGACUGAGACACGGCCCUUACUCCUACGGGAGGCAGCAGUGGGGAAUAUUGGACAAUGGACCAAGAGUCUGAUCCAGCAAUUCUGUGUGCACGAUGAAGUUUUUCGGAAUGUAAAGUGCUUUCAGUUGGGAAGAAAAAAAUGACGGUACCAACAGAAGAAGUGACGGCUAAAUACGUGCCAGCAGCCGCGGUAAUACGUAUGUCACAAGCGUUAUCCGGAUUUAUUGGGCGUAAAGCGCGUCUAGGUGGUUAUGUAAGUCUGAUGUGAAAAUGCAGGGCUCAACUCUGUAUUGCGUUGGAAACUGUGUAACUAGAGUACUGGAGAGGUAAGCGGAACUACAAGUGUAGAGGUGAAAUUCGUAGAUAUUUGUAGGAAUGCCGAUGAGGAAGCCAGCUUACUGGACAGAUACUGACGCUGAAGCGCGAAAGCGUGGGUAGCAAACAGG
rnacentral:rRNA from 1 species